CGUGUAGGCGGUCGGUCAAGUCCGAUGUGAAAGCCCGGGGCUCAGCCUCGGAAGUGCAUCGGAAACUAGCCGGCUGGAGCGCGAUAGAGGAGGGUAGAAUUCCUGGUGUAGCGGUGAAAUGCGUAGAUAUCAGGAGGAAUACCGGCGGCGAAGGCGGCCCUCUGGAUCGUUGCUGACGCUGAGACGCGAAAGCGUGGGGAGCAAACAGGAUUAGAUACCCUGGUAGUCCACGCGGUAAACGAUGGGUACUAGGUGUUCGGGGUAUUGACCCCCUGAGUGCCGCAGCUAACGCAUUAAGUACCCCGCCUGGGGACUACGGCCGCAAGGUUAAA
rnacentral:rRNA from 1 species